GUGAUCGGAGCACUGGGGGCAUGGACCCCCAAACUGGAGGAGUGGCUACAACAGAUCCCUGGAAAAACAUUCAACAUAUCAGUCCAGACAAGUGCAGUCCUUGGAACAGCAAGGAUACUGCGCAGACCACCAGCGGAGGGUGAGAAUAGAGUGUUGUGACAAACCGCCGGUUUGUUUCCCACUGAGCAGCCCCGUACUGUGCGCACACACACACACACACGCACCAGCUGAUUGGCCGCAGAGAGCGGGUGCACACGCAAUCGUGCGGGCAUUUGGACAUUUCACCACCAUCCCAUCCUGUUACGCCGUUAGACUAACCACAUACACUUGUCACUUUUGUUGGUUUUGGUUUCUUGUGUCAUUACUUACGUGUCGGGAGUAGUCUGACUCCCGCGUCGCGCCGGCAAAACCGGACAGCUGGGCGACGCUCACUUUUGACGUCAUUGCAGUGUCGCAUUGGCGCGAGGCGCGGGUCCGGCGAAACCACUUUUGUUUGUUGUUAUUAUUUGGUCCUAGUCAUUAUUUGUGGGGUAUUCUUGUGUUAUGUAUCUGAGAAUUAUUGUUGAAAUAUGGGUGAUUGAUUUAUACCUGUUGAAAGGUGAAUAUUGGGGUUAUAUGUGUUUAGUUUCCAGAACUUUCUGGAGAAUGGUUCAACCCAGUUGAAGGGGGCGGGGCCAGGCCUUUAAGAAGAGUGGCCAAACUCCCUUGUGGGGGAGAGUGGACUGGACGAAGAGCGAGUUGGUUGGUGAGAGAGUGUUGACGAAGAGAAGAGACAUUCCUUUUAUUUGAGCAGGUUUUUUUUUUCAGGUUGAUUUCCACAUCCAUAGUUGUCUUUAUCAUUCUGUUUUUCUUUUUUUGUCUGUUGCACCCGCGGGGUUUUGGAGCAACUGUAAAUACUGCACCUGAUUCUUUUCUGCACUAUACUUUUGGACUGAAUAAACUCACUAUCUGCGAGCAAGCCAUCUUUUUUUGGUUGUUUUUUGCACGGCGUUCCACGUCUCGAGUGAGCAGCAAAGCUCACUCACCACAAGUGUGUAUAUACAUAUAUAUAUCUUCGCAGACUAAACUUCCUGAACCUUUCCCUGCAUUGGCUUGCGACUCAUCUUCAGUUGGUUGUGAUGCCACAUUCUUUCACCUGUCACACCGGUGAUUUCUGUAUUUCCUUGAUGCUUCAACAACAAUGACAUCACAAACAACUUGUGACACUGUGGAAAGUUGCAUUAGAG
rnacentral:lncRNA from 1 species